rnacentral:ribozyme from 14 species
AAAAAAAAAAAAAAAAAAAAAAAAAAACAAGUCCAGUCUUAGAAUCCCAUGAUUUAGCAAUCUAUAUCUCCUCCUGUUUGC